rnacentral:rRNA from 1 species
UAGGGAAUCUUCGGCAAUGGACGAAAGUCUGACCGAGCAACGCCGCGUGAGUGAAGAAGGUUUUCGGAUCGUAAAACUCUGUUGUUAGAGAAGAACAAGGACGUUAGUAACUGAACGUCCCCUGACGGUAUCUAACCAGAAAGCCACGGCUAACUACGUGCCAGCAGCCGCGGUAAUACGUAGGUGGCAAGCGGUGUUCGGAUUUAUUGGGCGUAAAGCGAGCGCAGGCGGUUUCUUCAGUCUUAUGUGAAAGCCCCCGGAUCAACCGGGGAGGGUUAUUGGAAACUGGGCGACGUGAGUGCAGAAGAGGAGAGUGGAAUUCCAUGUGUAGCGGUGAAAUGCGUAGAUAUAUGGAGGAACCCCAGUGGCGAAGGCGGCUCUCUGGUCUGUAACUGACGCUGAGGCUCGAAAGCGUGGGGAGCAAACAGG